rnacentral:hammerhead_ribozyme from 1 species
ACCCAGCUGGCGAGUCCCGAAUAGGACGAAACGCGCUUCCUGUAU